GACGGAGGGUGCUAGCGUUGUUCGGAAUGACUGGGCGUAAAGGGCGCGUAGGCGGCUUGGUCAGUCGGGUGUGAAAGCCCGGGGCUCAACCCCGGAACGGCAUCCGAUACGGCCAGGCUGGAGACCGGGAGAGGAGGGUGGAAUACCCAGUGUAGAGGUGAAAUUCGUAGAUAUUGGGUGGAACACCGGUGGCGAAAGCGGCUCUCUGGCCCGGAUCUGACGCUGAGGCGCGAAAGCGUGGGGAGCAAACAGG
rnacentral:rRNA from 1 species